CAAGUCCCUCUCCUCAGGGCUGCUCUCCAGCCAUUCUCCACCUAGCCUGGAUUUGUGCUUGGGGUGGAGCUUGAAAGACCCCACAGGUCCCCCCCUACAGACUCCUGUCCCCAGGCAGCACCUUGUUCCAUCCUCAAGGGUGAUUUGCCCCAGGGUUUCACCCUCUGCUCUCACCACGAUACCGUGGGUCAAACCCACCCCCAUUUCAGGUGGAAAUGGCCCUGUCCUGAAGCAGGACACAGCCCCGUGCUCCUGGAAAACCUGCCUGCCUGAACCCAGGCCAUGGGAUGUCCCGGAGAUCAAAUGCUCCCUCCAUUGCUUCCAGCACCAGCUCCGACAGCGACUCUGCCAGCUGGGAAACCACCCCACAGCAGGCCCCGGGGCUUGCCAGCUCUGUCCCAUGGGCUGGCAGCCCUUCGCAGCCAAGUGCUACUGGGUUUCCACCAAAACCGAAGCCUGGAAGAUGGCGGCAGAAAACUGUCAGCACAAGGGAGCUCAACUGGUCAUACUGGAGAGCCUGGAGGAGAAGGCUUUCAUCGAGGGGAUGACGGGAAAAACCUCCAUGGCCUGGAUGGGACUGAGGAUCCACCAGGGGAGAGAGACCGAGUGGACGUGGGAGGACGGGUCCCCUUUACAGAAAGCCUUGUGAGUGCCCUCCCUGGGGGGGGUCAUGAUAAUCACAUCCCAGGGCAAAUAAUUCCCAGCCCCAUGCUCACCACAGACCUUUGCUGCCCCCCAAAAAUCCCUCCAGAACCAGCACUCACGAGAGCAAAUUAAACCACAGCAAUGUGGGUCUGGUCUCUGCUAAACAGG
rnacentral:lncRNA from 1 species